CCUGCUCGGCUCGGCUCCCGCCCCGCCCCGCCCCUCAGCGCCGUUUCCAGCCGGAGGCCUUUGGCCGGUGCACGGCGGCAGCGGCGGGAGAUCCGCAACGGCGGCGGGAGCGGCUCCAGGCGACGCGAUGUCAGCUAAGAGAGCAUUAAAGCUGGAGAGUAUUAAAAAAGAUAUUCGAUAUGAUGCAACACCUUUGGAGACCAAAUUGAAAAAUCUAAAUGCUUACUCACCAACAACAGGAACACGUGAAAUGAGCCCAUUCUCAUCUCCUAUGAGUCAUGAUGCACAAAAUCUCAAGAAGCACCUAUCAAAUGGAAAUAGAAGGGAGCAGAAUGGUUCAGCAAGCAGAUUACCCAGAAGAGGGCAGCCUCAAACAGAGAAGGAUGUGUUCAUGGAGUUGCAGUGCAAAGUGAAAAGUUCCCUGGACAGAAUCCUGAAAAUAAGAGGAAAUCUGACAAGCCUCCAGGCUUUAGAGGGCAGUAGAGAGCUUGAAAAUGUUGGUGUCUCAGUCUCGUCUGGCAACUUGAGGGAGGAAGUGCGGAAAACCGAAGAGCUAAUGAGUCAAGCAGAAGAACUGCAGCUGCUGAAAAGAGACCAUGGAAAACUUCUUGCCCAAAGGAAGAAAUGUUAUUCUGCCCUUUCUGGUCUUGUGAACUGGCUAAGCAGAAAUAUAUUAAGUGAACUGAAUGAAUUCACAGAAACAUCUGCUCGGAGUUAAUGUCCCUGCACCGUGUUUGGAAGAGAGAUGGGGUCAUCAGUACUCUUUCGCUUGAGUCCUGCAUCCCACCAAGAUAUGAGCUGCCCCCUUGGCCUCACCAGAGAGGCUGUUGAAGUGAGGCAGAAAGUGCCUUAUGCCAUCAGUAAGACUGCUUCAAGAAAUCAUAACUUGGUUUAUGUGAUGCUGGGGGGAAUCUGGCCUAGUUCUGGCUCUCUUGGGUGGAAGAUGUGUCUGUAUUUCUGCUCAUAAGGCUUUUCUGCCAUUAGACAUGGGAAAAAAAUUAAUGACAGUUACAUUUUUAAGUUAUACCUCAGUGUGAACACUUGUAAAUGGGACUGCAUUCAUCAAAACUGAAUUAAGAGUCUGCCGAGUGUGUGUGUGCACACAUGGACGUGGUGCACCUUUGAAUGUCCCCGUGCAGAGACCCAGGGAAACCACUCUGCCCUCCUGCAUUUGCAAUCAAAACUAACUGUGAGAUUGCCCCAAGAGCACCCAGAGGAGGAGUGUGUUGUGGUGUCAUGUUCUAAUUCGUAUUGUGUGGGCUAAAAGCUGUCGUUGCUCAGGCUAAAUCUGACCGUACAUCUCUCAUUCUGUGCAAGCAGGUCUAGUUUGUAACCAUGCAAAGUCCUUUACAGUCUAGAAGAGGUAACAAAAGCACGUUCUGGUGCCCAGAAUUUGCAAUGCUGGUGGUUUUCCUAGGACAAGAUGCAUUCAGACCACCGGUAGCUCCGCGUUCCUGAGGUCUCUCCUUGACUGAGCAAAUAAACCAAUCCCCCACCUCUAACCCUCCCUACAAGAACCAGGCAAGAAGAAACUCUGGUCAGAGAUGACCUUUGCAUCCCAGGCCUUCUGUGGGAAAUGACUGCUUCCUGCCCUGCUCCUGUCAUCACGCCACCAGCCCCACAAAAGCCGGUUAACUGUGACUGAAAUAAAUGCAUCCAGUUUUGCAACA